CUCCCAGCCGUUGAGACUGUACAAUCCCGACGGCCGGGAGGGAUUCCUCCCAGUCGUUGAGACUGUACCCUCUCGGCUGUUGAGACUGUACAGUCUCAACGACUGGGAGGAAUCCCUCCCGGCUGUCGGGAUUGUACAGUCUUGACGGCCGGGAG
rnacentral:miRNA from 1 species